rnacentral:rRNA from 2 species
ACUUAAAUUGAAGAGUUUGAUCAUGGCUCAGAUUGAACGCUGGCGGCAGGCCUAACACAUGCAAGUCGAGCGGCAGCGGAAAGUAGCUUGCUACUUUGCCGGCGAGCGGCGGACGGGUGAGUAAUGUCUGGGAAACUGCCUGAUGGAGGGGGAUAACUACUGGAAACGGUAGCUAAUACCGCAUAACGUCGCAAGACCAAAGAGGGGGACCUUCGGGCCUCUUGCCAUC